CCUACGGGUGGCUGCAGUGGGGAAUAUUGCACAAUGGGCGCAAGCCUGAUGCAGCCAUGCCGCGUGUGUGAAGAAGGCCUUCGGGUUGUAAAGCACUUUCAGCGGGGAGGAAGGCGUUAAGGUUAAUAACCUUGGCGAUUGGCGUUACCCGCAGAAGAAGCACCGGCUAACUCCGUGCCAGCAGCCGCGGUAAUACGGAGGGUGCAAGCGUUAAUCGGAAUUACUGGGCGUAAAGCGCACGCAGGCGGUCUGUCAAGUCGGAUGUGAAAUCCCCGGGCUCAACCUGGGAACUGCAUUCGAAACUGGCAGGCUAGAGUCUUGUAGAGGGGGGUAGAAUUCCAGGUGUAGCGGUGAAAUGCGUAGAGAUCUGGAGGAAUACCGGUGGCGAAGGCGGCCCCCUGGACAAAGACUGACGCUCAGGUGCGAAAGCGUGGGGAGCAAACAGGAUUAGAUACCCGAGUAGUC
rnacentral:rRNA from 1 species